CAGCAGCAGCCGCGGUAAUACGUAGGGUGCGAGCGUUAAUCGGAAUUACUGGGCGUAAAGCGUGCGCAGGCGGUUAUAUAAGACAGAUGUGAAAUCCCCGGGCUCAACCUGGGACCUGCAUUUGUGACUGUAUAGCUAGAGUACGGUAGAGGGGGAUGGAAUUCCGCGUGUAGCAGUGAAAUGCGUAGAUAUGCGGAGGAACACCGAUGGCGAAGGCAAUCCCCUGGACCUGUACUGACGCUCAUGCGCGAAAGCGUGGGGAGCAAACAGGAUUAGAUACCCGAGUAGUCCCUGUCUCUUAUAC
rnacentral:rRNA from 1 species